rnacentral:rRNA from 1 species
UACAGACGGUCCCAAGCGUUGUUCGGAUUCAUUGGGCGUAAAGGGUGCGUAGGUGGCGUCGUAAGUCGGGUGUGAAAUCUCGGGGCUUAACUCCGAAACUGCAUUCGAUACUGCGGUGCUUGAGGACUGGAGAGGAGACUGGAAUUUACGGUGUAGCAGUGAAAUGCGUAGAGAUCGUAAGGAAGACCAGUGGCGAAGGCGGGUCUCUGGACAGUUCCUGACACUGAGGCACGAAGGCCAGGGGAGCAAACGGG